rnacentral:rRNA from 1 species
UACGAAGGGGGCUAGCGUUGCUCGGAAUCACUGGGCGUAAAGGGUGCGUAGGCGGGUCUUUAAGUCAGGGGUGAAAUCCUGGAGCUCAACUCCAGAACUGCCUUUGAUACUGAAGAUCUUGAGUUCGGGAGAGGUGAGUGGAACUGCGAGUGUAGAGGUGAAAUUCGUAGAUAUUCGCAAGAACACCAGUGGCGAAGGCGGACUCACUGGCCCGAUACUGACGCUGAGGCACGAA